GUCAUCUGGGGGCUCACUGCCUCCCUGUACUCUAAACUCCAUUUCAAGGCACUGCCUUCCCCCAACUCAUCCCCAUCUCUGGCUAUAGCUGGGGAGAGGAAUCUCCCAAACAGCCAACAGCUCCAGGCUGGAGUGCGCCCGCAGCCCAGGCUGAGAGAAGGUGCUGGCUGCAGCUUCCUCCCUGGGCCUGACCCCUGUGCUCUCUUCACCCUAGCUCUGAGCUGCCCAGCCUGCCCAGCCCCCGUCAGCCGGGGUGCUCUGGAGAACCAGGACGAUGCAGAAACAGAAGACAGUAUGCAGAGAACACGAGCAGCGAGCCUGAUGGAGGAACAUCUCACAGCAUGGUGGCCAGUGCUGUUCUAUGAGAGCUGCAAGGACACAGGACAGAGUGACGACUCCGACCCCCACCACUCACAGACAAGGAGGCUGAGCCUGAAAGAGGCAGAGUGACCAGGGGCUGGGCAGCUGAGUUGGUACGAGGAAGAAGUAAAGCAGGAAACUGCACAAGAUCACAGAUGGUACGCCAGUUUCAGGUCCUCAUAUCUGGAGAAGUCCUGGAAACGUUUCCUGGGCCCAGAAUGGCCAGCACAAACUCACAGGUACCUUUAGCCAGGAGUCCCCAGUGGCUCUGGAGCAUCCAGCCUUGGAGACCCCACGUGCCAACAAUAAGACAUUGAUCAAAUGAGCUAACCGCCUGCCCACCUGUACAGUCGGACCUUACAGGCACCCCAAAAUGCUGAGUGUUAGGACUGGAUGAGGUUCCGGUUCAGAGCCUGGCUUGUUGUGGGAGCUUCCUAGCCUUAGUUCCCCCCUCUGUCUGCUUUGGGGAAUCACCUCUGGGCAGCGCUUCUCUCCUCUGCCUGCUGCUGUAGCCAGCAAACCCCUUGGG